CCCAGACUCCUACGGGAGGCAGCAGUGGGGAAUAUUGGGCAAUGGGCGCAAGCCUGACCCAGCAACGCCGCGUGAAGGAAGAAGGCUUUCGGGUUGUAAACUUCUUUUGACAGGGAAGAGUAGAAGACGGUACCUGUCGAAUAAGCCACGGCUAACUACGUGCCAGCAGCCGCGGUAAUACGUAGGUGGCAAGCGUUGUCCGGAUUUACUGGGUGUAAAGGGCGUGUAGCCGGGUUGACAAGUCAGAUGUGAAAUCCUGCGGCUUAACCGCAGAACUGCAUUUGAAACUGUUGAUCUUGAGUACUGGAGAGGCAGACGGAAUUCCUAGUGUAGCGGUGAAAUGCGUAGAUAUCAGGAGGAACACCGGCGGCGAAGGCGGCUUACUGGACUGUAACUGACGUUGAGGCUCGAAGGCGUGGGGAGCAAACAGGAUUAGAUACCCCGGUACA
rnacentral:rRNA from 1 species